rnacentral:rRNA from 1 species
UACAGAGGUCUCAAGCGUUGUCCGGAAUCAUUGGGCGUAAAGAGCGUGUAGGCGGCCCGAUAAGUCCGCCGUGAAAGUCCAGGGCUCAACCCUGGAAUGCCGGUGGAAACUGUCGGGCUGGAGUCCGGAAGAGGCGAGUGGAAUUCCUGGUGUAGCGGUGAAAUGCGCAGAUAUCAGGAGGAACACCAAUGGCGAAGGCAGCUCGCUGGGACGGUACUGACGCUGAGACGCGAAAGCGUGGGGAGCAAACAGG